rnacentral:lncRNA from 1 species
UCUGAUAUUCCCAGCUGUCUGCAUAUUAGAAGUGUUACGAGUCGUUUGCCCAUUUAAUUAUUUCGUCCACAUUUAAAAAUGUGUUUUUCUUAACUGGUUUUAACCAAAGAUGACUCACACCUUCUUGUUUCGCUUUUGUCCACAUUAUUUCGUCCACAUUCCCAGCUGUAUGCAUAUUAGGAGUGUUACGAAGCCUGCUCGGACUUAGAAGGCCGGUCCUUGAACGGCCUCCUUUUGCUUCUUUAGAGGAAUGGUUUAGGUUCGGGCAGUUCGAUGAAUCAGUUUCUUGUUUCAUUUUGUUGUUCACG